AUCGUGCGGUUAUAUACCGACGCCCACAUUCGUGUUGCUCGCUUUUCGAUUAUUUUUGUGGAAUGGUUUGAGCGUCAGACGUGGGCCAGAGUCAAAUGGACGUCUUAGUAUCCAUACAGUGAUCGUUGAAUUAUCAAGCGGUCAUUGUGGGUCGGUGGUUCAGAAAUGU